rnacentral:rRNA from 1 species
AUGUCCGGAUCUCAGCGUAGUGGGGUACGUACUCCCUUUCAGGACCUGACGAACAACGACAGUUCAGGUCAAAAAACAGAUCCAAAAGAACUAAAGAGACAGAGGGAAAGGGAGAGGUAUGCACUAAACAGGGAUGCAAUAUUGAAAAAAAGAAAGGAGGCAAGGGAUCGUAAGAAAGCUAUGUCCGCUAUUUUAAAUGGAACCAACACUCCAUCUAAGCCACCCGUGGCCAUGUCGCCUGGUUUUGACACUGUGGGGAUGCCCAGUGCGCAGUCUGCUAUCACCCAGCAACGACACACACCAGUUGUGGAAGGCAUACCUGUUGAUGUGGUAAUGAGUGAUCAGACUCCACUUCAUGGUCCAUGUUCACUAACAACACCAGAUACUGUCGUCUCUAACAAGGAAAAUGUUAAUAAUAUGAACUCUGACAUUGAGUCCUCCCAACUGACUGUGUUACGACCGCCACUUCAAGCCUACAGAUGCAGCAGUUCAUAUGAAGAAAAACAAGCACUGAAGAGGCAGAGGGAAAAUUCCCGGUAUGAGCAACAUAAAGAAGAGAUAUUGCAAAGCCUACGUGACAAACGUCGUGCAGCCAAAUCUACAGUAGUGCUUACACCCGGAGAACAAAACCAAUCUGAUACAGCUGAUGAAGAUUGUGAUUGGCUACACACAAAUGAUAUGUACCUGAGACAAACCAUUGGAAGGAGGAUGAGGCGAGACAACAUAGUCACUGCGUCGUCACGCAACGACCACGACGAUGAUGCAUGUGGAAUCCUGGAGCCCGAUGGCAACACAACAAAUAUGGAUGGUACACAUUAA